rnacentral:tRNA from 12 species
CAUGGCUCAGUCGGAACAGCGUUGGCCUAAUAAUCCAGAGGAUGUUGGUUCGAUUCUUCCCAU